rnacentral:rRNA from 1 species
UGAGCAAUCUGCCCUUCACAUCGGAAUAACCAUUGGAAACGAUGGCUAAUACCGAAUAUGACUUCGGAUCGCAUGAUCUGAAGUGGAAAGCUCCGGCGGUGAAGGAUGAGCUCGCGGCCUAUCAGCUUGUUGGUGAGGUAAUAGCUCACCAAGGCGACGACGGGUAGCCGGCCUGAGGAGGGUCGACCGGCCACACGUGGGACUGAGACGACCGGCCCAGACCUCCG